GGUCCUAUAGUGUAGCGGUUAUCACAGUGGAUUCUGAUCUCACAUGUCACCCUUCCACUAACGCAGGUUCGAUUCCUGCUAGGACCU
rnacentral:tRNA from 1 species